GAUGAACGCUGGCUACAGGCUUAACACAUGCAAGUCGAGGGGAAACGACGGGGAAGCUUGCUUCCCCGGGCGUCGACCGGCGCACGGGUGAGUAACGCGUAUCCAACCUGCCUCUGACUGAGGGAUAACCCGUCGAAAGUCGGCCUAAUACCUCAUGGCAUCGUCUGCGGGCAUCCAACGACGAUUAAAGAUUUCAUCGGUCAGAGAUGGGGAUGCGUCUGAUUAGCUUGUUGGCGGGGUAACGGCCCACCAAGGCGACGAUCAGUAGGGGUUCUGAGAGGAAGGUCCCCCACAUUGGAACUGAGACACGGACCAAACUCCUACGGGAGGCAGCAGUGAGGAAUAUUGGGCAAUGGGCGAGAGCCUGAACCAGCCAAGUAGCGUGCAGGAUGACGGCGCUAUGGGUUGUAAACUGCUUUUAUGCGGGGAUAAAGUGACGGACGUGUCCUUCAUUGCAGGUACCGCAUGAAUAAGGACCGGCUAAUUCCGUG
rnacentral:rRNA from 1 species